AUUGAACGCUGGCGGCAGGCCUAACACAUGCAAGUCGAACGGUAGCACAGAGAGCUUGCUCUCGGGUGACGAGUGGCGGACGGGUGAGUAAUGUCUGGGAAACUGCCCGAUGGAGGGGGAUAACUACUGGAAACGGUAGCUAAUACCGCAUAACGUCGCAAGACCAAAGUGGGGGACCUUCGGGCCUCACACCAUCGGAUGUGCCCAGAUGGGAUUAGCUAGUAGGUGGGGUAAUGGCUCACCUAGGCGACGAUCCCUAGCUGGUCUGAGAGGAUGACCAGCCACACUGGAACUGGGACACGGUCCAGACUCCUACGGGAGGCAGCAGUGGGGAAUAUUGCACAAUGGGCGCAAGCCUGAUGCAGCCAUGCCGCGUGUAUGAAGAAGGCCUUCGGGUUGUAAAGUACUUUCAGCGGGGAGGAAGGCGGUGAAGUUAAUAACUUCACCGAUUGACGUUACCCGCAGAAGAAGCACCGGCUAACUCCGUGCCAGCAGCCGCCGUAA
rnacentral:rRNA from 1 species